CAUGUUUCCUACCAUGGAGGUAGGAAAAGAGUGGAGGGGGCAUAAGGUCUGAAAAGUGUCACAUAAACAAAACAAAGAUUGCCCAUCCCUAUAUGGCCGACUUCAAACUCUUUAAAUUUUGGAUUUUUAGUUGUUUCUACUUAAUUUUACUUCAGUGGCUGUGAUUUGUUGUUCAGUUUUGUAGUGGAAAGAAGUAUUGUAUGGUACAAAAUGAUUUCUGGUUCGGUAUAUAUUCUAAUGCAUCCAAAGUUAAUCUUAUUAAAGCUGGAGUUACAUUUCACAAGUUUCCUCUGAACCCUGAAAGAAGAACCCUGUGGAUUCAGGCAAUCUGUAAAAAUUAGUUACCAUCAUCCCAUGCAAGUAUUUGUUCCAUUUCUUUCAAAGAUGAUAUCGAUAAGGUUCUCAGAGCUACCUUUCAUAAAAUGGAAGCUUCACCUGUUGAACCACGGGCAUUUGAGAAUUCCAUGGUGAUUAAGAUGGUUCCAUCAACCUUAAAAGACUCCCUUGAUGAAGUUACACUCAAUGAAGUAGAUGAAACAAAUGUUCUAGAGAAAACCACUUCAAAAUAUAAAUCACACAAUAUCCUAUCCCAGGGAUUGUGAAGUUGGUCGGAAUAUUGUAUAUGUUUAUGUUGUGGAUAACUUGUACAUUCUGUAAAUUAUUUCCUGUUCAUAUCUUGUUCCAUUAAAAUAAAUAUUAAUAAUUUUA